rnacentral:rRNA from 1 species
CGUGUAGCCGGGUCGGUAAGUCAGAUGUGAAAUCCACGGGCUCAACUCGUGAACUGCAUUUGAAACUGCUGAUCUUGAGUAUCGGAGAGGUAAUCGGAAUUCCUAGUGUAGCGGUGAAAUGCGUAGAUAUUAGGAGGAACACCAGUGGCGAAGGCGGAUUACUGGACGACAACUGACGGUGAGGCGCGAAAGCGUGGGGAGCAAACAGGAUUAGAUACCCUGGUA